GCCGGUGUGGUGUAGUGGUUUAAGCAUUGGACUGUAACUCUAGAGACCAGGCUUCAAAUCCCUGCUCUGACA
rnacentral:tRNA from 1 species